UUGGAGGGCAAGUCUGGUGCCAGCAGCCGCGGUAAUUCCAGCUCCAAUAGCGUAUAUUAAAGUUGUUGCAGUUAAAAAGCUCGUAGUUGAAUUUCGGGGUUAGCAGGUUGGUCGUGCCACUGGUAUGUACUGGCCUUGCUGAUUCCUCCCUCUUGAUGAGCCGUAAUGCCAUUAAUUUGGUGUUGCGAGGAAUCAGGACUGUUACUUUGAAAAAUUAGAGUGUUUAAAGCAGGCAAGCGCUUGAAUACAUUAGCAUGGAAUAAUGAAAUAGGACGUUUGAUCUUAUUUUGUUGGUUUCUAAGAUUGACGUAAUGAUUAAUAGGGAUAGUUGGGGGCAUUAGUAUUCAAUUGUCAGAGGUGAAAUUCUUGGAUUUAUUGAAGACUAACUACUGCGAAAGCAUUUGCCAAGGAUGUUUUCAUUAAUCAAGAACGAAAGUUAGGGGAUCGAAGACGAUCAGAUACCGUCGUAGUCUUAACCAUAAACUAUAGCCGACUAGGGAUCGGAUGAUGUUAAUUUUUAAUGUACUC
rnacentral:rRNA from 1 species